UACGUAUGGUGCAAGCGUUAUCCGGAUUUACUGGGCGUAAAGGGAGCGCAGGCGGUGCGCCAAGUCUGAUGUGAAACCCCGGGGCUCAACCCCGGGCAUGCAUUGGAAACUGGCGGGCUGGAGUGCCGGAGAGGUAAGCGGAAUUCCUAGUGUAGCAGUGAAAUGCGUAGAUAUUAGGAGGAACACCAGUGGCGAAGGCGGCUUACUGGACGGCAACUGACGCUGAGGCUCGAAAGCGUGGGGAGCAAACAGG
rnacentral:rRNA from 1 species